CCCUGGUUAGCUCAGUUGUUAGAGCGCUCCACUUGUAAUGGAGAGGUCCCGGGUUCGAUACCCGGACCAGGCG
rnacentral:tRNA from 2 species